CCCCUGGUGGCUCAGGCGGUAAAGCACCUGCCUGCAAUGCAGGAGACCAGGUUCGAGCCCUGGGUGGGGGA